AAAGAAUUAGUUUAACUAAACACAUUAAAUUGUCAAUUUAAAAAUAUUUUACAAAAAAUAUUCUUUA
rnacentral:tRNA from 1 species